rnacentral:snRNA from 1 species
AUCGCUUCUUGGCCUUUUGGCUAAGAUCAAGUGUAGUACUUGAAAACUGUACUUUAUUAAAAACAGAGCUAAUAUUGAUUUCUUACUCUUU